CACGUAGGGCGCAAGCGUUGUCCGGAAUUAUUGGGCGUAAAGAGCUCGUAGGCGGACUGUCACGUCUGCUGUGAAAAGCUAGGGCUUAACCCUGGCCUUGCAGUGGAUACGGGCAGACUAGAGGUAGGUAGGGGAGAAUGGAAUUCCCGGUGUAGCGGUGAAAUGCGCAGAUAUCGGGAGGAACACCGGUGGCGAAGGCGGGUCUCUGGACAGUUCCUGACACUGAGGCACGAAGGCCAGGGGAGCAAACGGG
rnacentral:rRNA from 1 species